UACGGAGGGAGCUAGCGUUGUUCGGAAUUACUGGGCGUAAAGCGCGCGUAGGCGGCGAUAUAUGUCGGGGGUGAAAGCCCGGGGCUCAACCCCGGAACUGCCCUCGAAACUGUAUCGCUAGAAUCUGGGAGAGGUGAGUGGAAUUCCGAGUGUAGAGGUGAAAUUCGUAGAUAUUCGGAAGAACACCAGUGGCGAAGGCGGCUCACUGGACCAGUAUUGACGCUGAGGUGCGAAAGCGUGGGGAGCAAACAGG
rnacentral:rRNA from 1 species